CCCUGAGGUGUUCUGACCCAGGCCUGGCGCAAGGCUCUCGUGCCUGUGGGGUUCUGGGUUCAGAUGCUGACUUUGUUGGAAGUUCCUUGACGGUCGAAGCCUGUGGCAUGUCAUGUGAGUGUUCAGAGGAGUGACCCUCGAGGCCGAUCAGGAAGAACGGGAAGUAAGAGAAGCGAACUAAUCCCUCAAGGUCGUGUAACUUGGAAAUGGUGAGGCCAGGAGCGUCCCUUCCUUCUCCAGAGUCCUUGGGGAUCGCCACCGACAUGUUGCUGUUUUACUGAGAACAAGUGAGAGGGCCGGCGCUGUGGCAUAGGGGGUAAAGCCCCCGCCUGCAGUGCCUACAUCCCAUGUGGCCGCCGGUUCGAGAUCUGGCUGCUCCACUUCCGAUCCAGUUCUCUGCUGUGGCCUGGGAAAGCAGUGGAAGAUGGCCCAAGGGCUUGGGCCCCUGCACCCACGUGGGAGACCCGGAAGAAGCUCCUGGCUUCGGCCCAGUUCCAACCGUUGUGGCCAUCUGGGGAGUGAACCAGCAGAUGGAAGACUUUUCCCUUUCUCUCUGCCUCCCUGUAACUCUGCCUUUCAAAUACACAAAUAAAUAAAUAAAAAAGAAAAACAACAACAAAUGAGCUGGUGGUAGCCAGGCCCUUUUGAGAGGGGAAGGAGAAACUCCUCCUCUUUGCCUCUCCUGUGCCCUACAGUUCUGCUUUCUGUCCCCUCUGAAGAGACUACAAGUUCUUGAUUCACGGAAAGGCCAGGCAGCCAGAGUCACAACUGGAUUUAACCGUGAACAACCCGGGGCCAGCGCUGUGGCGCAGCAGGUUAAGCUGCAGUCUGCAGUGCCGGCAUCCAUAUGAGCGCAGGUUCAAGUCCUGGCUGCUCCACUUCCCAGCCAGGUCCCUGCUGAUGUUCCCGGGAAAGUAGCUAGAAGAUGGCUCAAGAUGGUCCCUGCUACCCACGGGGAGACCUGGAAGAAGCUCCUGGCCCCUCACUUUAGCCUGGCCCAGUCCUGACCAUUUAGGCCAGUUGGAAGAUCUGUCUUUCUCUGUAGCUCUGCCUUUCAAAUAAAUCUUUUAAAAAAGAAAAAGAAAUAAUAAGAGUGAACAACCUGAAUUCUAACUAUGACCUUAGCAAUUCAAGGAUCUUGGCCAAGUCAAAGCUCCCCUUAAAACAUCAGUGCUGGGACCAGCACUGUGCCAUAGCAGGUAAGGCUGUCGCCUGCAGUGCUGGCAUCCCAUAUAGGUGCUAGUUCGAGUCCCAGAUGCUCCACUUCCCAUCCAGCUCUCUGCUAUGGCCUGGGAAAGCAGUAGAAGAUGGCCCAAGUGCUUGGACCCCUGCACCCAUGAGGAAGACCUGGAAGAAGCUCCUGGCUUCAGAUGGGCCUAGCUCCAGCCAUUGUGGCCACUUAGGGAAUGAACCAGCGGAUUGAAGACCUCUGUCUCUUGCCUCUACCUUUCAAAUAAAUAAAUCUUUAUUAAAAAAAAAA